rnacentral:rRNA from 1 species
GCUGGAUUCGCUAGUAAUCGCGCAUCAGCCAUGGUGCGGUGAAUACGUUCCCGGGCCUUGUACACACCGCCCGUCAAGCCAUGGGAGCCGGGGGCGCUUGAAGUGCGUUGCCGCAAGGCGCGCCCUAGAGCGAAACCGGUGACUGGGGCUAAGUCGUAACAAGGUACC